rnacentral:rRNA from 1 species
CGGGGACUACACACAGGUGUGCAUGGCUGUCGUCAGCUCGUGUCGUGAGAUGUUGGGUUAAGUCCCGCAACGAGCGCAACCCUCGCCUUUAGUUACCAUCAUUUAGUUGGGGACUCUAAAGGAACCGCCGGUGAUAAGCCGGAGGAAGGUGGGGAUGACGUCAAGUCCUCAUGGCCCUUACGCGCUGGGCUACACACGUGCUACAAUGGCGACUACAGUGGGCUGCGAACUCGCGAGGGUGAGCUAAUCUCCAAAAGUCGUCUCAGUUCGGAUUGUUCUCUGCAACUCGAGAGCAUGAAGGCGGAAUCGCUAGUAAUCGCGGAUCAGCAUGCCGCGGUGAAUACGUUCCCAGGCCUUGUACACACCGCCCGUCACACCAUGGGAGUUGGAUUCAC